rnacentral:rRNA from 1 species
GAUGAACGCUAGCGGCAGGCUUAAUACAUGCAAGUCAAGGGGGUAGCAAUACAACCGGCGCACGGGUGAGUAACGCGUACACAACAUACCAUAUACUGGAGUAUAGCUUUGGGAAACUGAAGGUAAUCCUCCAUAACAUUGCGAGAGGGCAUCUGAUUGCAAUUAAAGUUUCGGCGGUAUAUGAUUGGUGUGCGUUUGAUUAGCUAGUUGGUAGGGUAACGGCCUACCAAGGCGACGAUCAAUAGCUGGCGUGAGAGCGCGACCAGCCACACUGGAACUGAGACACGGUCCAGACUCCUACGGGAGGCAGCAGUAGGGAAUAUUGGACAAUGGAGGAAACUCUGAUCCAGCCAUGCCGCGUGAUAGAUGAAGGCCCUCUGGGUUGUAAAUAUCUUUUAAUCUGGGAAGAAACACUCCUAUUCUUAGGAACUUGACGGUACCAGAGGAAUAAGCACCGGCUAACUCCGUGCCAGCA